UUAGGGUUAGUUUCUCGUGGCCAUUCGAGCUUUGAAGGCUAGGGUCAGAAGGUUUAGGAUUUUGGUUAAGGUUUUGGUGCAAGUUUUGUAUCAUUUGGGGUUUUUAUGAAGAAGUUAUAGGCGCUCAAAGUUAAGGUGUAAGUUUUCGACGUACUGUCACUCUUUUGAGCAUACCGCACGCGUACGGACAGCAAACGAGGAUCGGCGACCGGAUUUGAAGAGAGAACUUUUUCGGCUACAGUUUGUGCAUACUGUUUAUCGAAUUCCAAGCUUUUAUGAAGGAGAUAUUGGCAGUUGAAGUCAGCGCUUGAUAUCUAAGGGUAGUAAGUAGCUCGAAUUACUUGUGCUUGUGAUUUGAGCUAUAUCUUAGACAAUUUGAUGAGGUUUUAGCUCAAAAUUUUCAAGAUUGAGUGCAAUCCUGUUAUAAAGCUUUCUAUACAAGUUUUGUGUGAUUUGGAGCUUAGGUUUAAGAGAUAUAAGGAAAAUAGUUUUCGGGUGCUUGUAAGUUAGGGUUUUGUACACCUGCUAGGGUUUCUUAGAUGCCGAACGAUCGGUGAUAGAUGUACGGUUCAAUGUUUUUGUGGUAAAAGUUAAGUAUAUCAUCUAGCUUAUGUAGAAAUUUGAAACAAAGUGAACGGUUGGAUUAGCUUUUAUGAAUUUUCAAAGUCUGAUGUAAAAAGGUCCUUGGCGGGAAGAAAUAUAUUUUGAAGAAUUUUAAGAUAUUUUGAAUUUUUAAACAAAGCAAGG
rnacentral:lncRNA from 1 species